rnacentral:rRNA from 1 species
CACGUAGGGGGCAAGCGUUGUCCGGAUUUAUUGGGCGUAAAGAGCUCGUAGGUGGUUCGGUAAGUCGGGUGUUAAACCCCCAGGCUCAACCUGGGGACGCCACUCGAUACUGCUGUGACUAGAGUCCGGUAGGGGAGAGUGGAAUUCCUGGUGUAGCGGUGAAAUGCGCAGAUAUCAGGAGGAACACCAAUUGCGAAGGCAGCUCGCUGGGACGGUACUGACGCUGAGACGCGAAAGCGUGGGGAGCAAACAGG